GAUGAACGCUGGCGGCGUGCUUAACACAUGCAAGUCGAACGAAGCUGUUGUUUGGAAACCUUCGGGUGGAAGAAUAACAGACUGAGUGGCGGACGGGUGAGUAACGCGUGGGUAACCUACCUUGCACAGGGGGACAACAGUUGGAAACGACUGCUAAUACCGCAUAAGACCACAGUACCGCAUGGUACAGGGGUAAAAACUGAGGUGGUGUAAGAUGGACCCGCGUCUGAUUAGCUAGUUGGUGGGGUAAAGGCCUACCAAGGCGACGAUCAGUAGCCGACCUGAGAGGGUGAUCGGCCACAUUGGGACUGAGACACGGCCCAAACUCCUACGGGAGGCAGCAGUGGGGAAUAUUGGACAAUGGGGGGAAACCCCUGAUCCAGCGAACGCCCGCGUGAAGUGAAAGAAAGUA
rnacentral:rRNA from 1 species